AAAAAUUAUGCUAAUUCCAGUAGCCAAAAAAAAUUAUGCUAAUUCCAGUAGCCCGAUGCGAACUCAAUGCGUCGCGUCGGUUCUUACAAUGCGUUUGCUGAUGUGUUGCAUCGCUUGGUCCUUGUCUAUGUGAAUUUAACCCUAAACGAUCUCUCAUUUCCCUUCUCUAUAAAUACCCAUUUCUUCUCAUUCUCCUUUUCUCCUAAAACCCUAGCCGCUCGUCGCCCUAAAAAUCCCCUUAGCCCCAACAUUAUUUUCCUUCAAGUGUGCCCAAAUUGGUAACAUUUCGACCUUCAUCUUCAUCUUCUUAAUCAAGUUUAAGGUACAAUGUCUAGCCGGCAACAAAAGAGCAAAAGGAAGAAUGUGGUUGGCUCUUUUGAGCCCGGUAGAAAAAAGAGUAGACAUGCUAACCGUGUGCCCCAGCCCUACCUAUCCCACGUGGUCAAUCCAGGAGGUAUGGGACUAAAGUAGUUGUGGAAACUGGGAGGAAAUAGUAUUCCCAACACAAGGAGUCUAAGUAUUCGGCGGACCAGUUCAUUGAUAGGGUCAACUUGCUAAAGGAGUACCCGAGUAUGGUGCGCUUAAUUGAGGCACUGCACAUGCAUUUCUUGCUUGACCAGCUAUCUGAGUGCAACUUGAGUCUUGUGUGGGAAUUUUAUGCCAAUUAGGACCCGCAGAACAAGGAUGCAGAAUUUGAGAUAAGGGGUUGUGUGGUUACUUUUACUGCCAACACUUUGAAUAAACUCUUAGGUACGUCCGUGCUGGAUGCUGAGCCAUUGAAAAGACUGAAUAUUAAGCCACCGUUCUAACACAUUCACCAUCUCUUAUGUGGUACACAUUUGACUGCUCGGUGGAUUCGUCAUAAGAAGGGUAGCACUCACGCAUCACUCCCCUUUGCUCACAUGAACAGGGAAGCUCGCUUAUGGGCCAAAUUAUUUAUGCUUACCUUGUCCAUGGGACGCAUAUGACAAAAGUGAUGCAUGACAGGGUGUGUAUCAUUUAUGCCCUUAUGUACGCAGAUAUUGAGUUGAAUGUCGACGCUAUUAUCUUCUCCACCAUGAGGAAAGGCAGGUUUUUGGGUGGUCGUCGAUAUGGUUUUAGUGGUUGUUAACUCAAUUUCUGUGGCAGCAGGGUGUACCUGAGGAGGAUGUUGAUUACAGACCACUAGUUAUUCUUAGACUCCUAAAUCUCUCUCGUACUAAGGAGCCUGUCUCUUAUACUGCCACAUUGACUAUGCCCGAGCAUCAGGCUCGAAAUGAUGAGAUCACCACCCGGAUGUAUAGGUUGAUGAUGCUGCAGUUGAGGAUUGGGGGCGUCCAGCAACCCAACAGGAGAAUGUGAUAUAGAGUUGGACAAUCCACUCAGGCGUGAUGCCUGGACCAUGCUACGGAUAGGCCCCGACUUUGUUGAUCCUAUUGAUGAUGAUGUCCCAACAGAUGAGGAGCGACAGUUAUGCUAUUCAGAUGAUGAGUCAGAAGAGGAUGAACAAUCUAAUGAUGGUGAUACAGGUGAUGAUUACAGUGAUGAUGAGGGUGCCCAUGAUAACAUGAUUGCGAGGGUACCAUUUGACUGAUCAGGGAGUAUGACUGCCACCUUGCCAUAUGCUUAUUUGAUAGCACUGGAACAGUGCUUCAUUUUAAGUGUGGGGUGGGGUGGAAUUUCUCAUUCCUUAUCCUUUCCUUUAUUUUAUGUUUUUGUUGGACAAUUUAAUUUUUCUGUUUUGUUUGGAUGAUUUUAUAGCUAUUCGAAACUUUAUGUCUAUAAUAGUUAGUAAGUUUGAAGUUUGGAUUGUUGCAAUUUGCCCUCAAGGCAAUGUUCACAUACUGCUUUUAGUUUAAAGUAUUUUGCUUUUGACCU